UCAACCACCUCCUCGCCGUCUUGCUGCUGUCGAUCAGAGAUGACCACGAAGCUGGAGGAGGGGGAGGAUGUGCCUGCACCUGCACGCCGUCUCCCCUGCACCUGUUCGAUCUCCUCUGUCCUCUCCUCUGUUUUAUCCUAUCUCUGACCGAGGUAUUCAGUGCCAAAAUUUUCAACAAUUAGUACUGAAUUUUUAGCAGUUCACACUGAUUUAUUGAGUGUUGAAUACACCAUUGUUAGCAGUUGGUACUGAAUUCCAAAAUUUUCUUUUAUCAUCUUUCAUCCAUUCUUCAGCUUGUCAUUGUAAACCUAUUGCAAAACUUGCUUACUUACUGUCGAUUCCAUCCUCUUUCGAAACAAAGAUUCUAAAUGUUCAAAAUUUGUCUCAUAUAUGCUGUAUUCUUGGUCCAUUUGCUUUACAGAAUAUACAAGGACGACUAAACAGUGGCUAAACAGAGCCAAGAACCUCCCAGCGCACUCCCAGGAUACAUAUACAGUCGGCCC
rnacentral:lncRNA from 1 species